GUGCUCGCUUUGGCAACACAUACACUAAAAUUGGAAUGAUACAUAGAAGAUUAGCAUGGCCCCUGAGCAAGGAUGACACACAAAUUUGUGAAGCGUUCCAUAUUUUG
rnacentral:snRNA from 1 species